rnacentral:rRNA from 1 species
UACGUAGGGCGCAAGCGUUGUCCGGAAUUAUUGGGCGUAAAGGGCUCGUAGGCGGUCUGUUGCGUCAGGAGUGAAAACUCGGGGCUUAACCCCGAGCCUGCUUCUGAUACGGGCAGACUAGAGGUAUGCAGGGGAGAACGGAAUUCCUGGUGUAGCGGUGAAAUGCGCAGAUAUCAGGAGGAACACCGGUGGCGAAGGCGGUUCUCUGGGCAUGUCCUGACGCUGAGGAGCGAAAGUGUGGGGAGCGAACAGG